GAUGAACGCUGGCGGCGUGCCUAAUACAUGCAAGUCGAGCGAACAGACGAAGCGCUUGCUCCUAUUAAGCUAGCGGCGGAUGGGUGAGUACUACGUGGAUACCUUACAUUUAAGACUAGGAUCAGUUAGGGAACCCGGAGCUCAUACACGACCAUAUAUUGAACGGCAGGGUUCAUUAGUGCACGACGGUUCUGCUGUCCCUUAUUCAUGGAUCCGCGCUGCAUUAGCUAGUUGGUAAGGUAACGGCUUACCAAGGCGACGAUGCGUAGCCGAUCUGUGAGGGUGAUCAGCCACACUGGAACUGAGACACGGUCCAGACUCCUACGGGAGGCAGCAGUAGGGAAUCUUGCGCAAUGGGCGAAAGCCUGACGGAGCAACGCCGCGUGUGUGAAGAAGGUCUUCGGAUCGUAAAGCUCUUUAAGUUGGGAAGAAGAAAAGUAUGAGUAACUAUUGAUGUCUUGACGUUACCUAAACAAAAAGCCACGGCUAACUACGUG
rnacentral:rRNA from 1 species